rnacentral:rRNA from 1 species
GACGAACGCUGGCGGCGUGCUUAACACAUGCAAGUCGAGCGGUAAGGCCCUUUCGGGGGUACACGAGCGGCGAACGGGUGAGUAACACGUGGGUGACCUGCCCUCAGCUCUGGGAUAAGCCUGGGAAACCGGGUCUAAUACUGGAUAUGACUCCAUGACGCAUGUUGUGGGGUGGAAAGCCUUGUGCGGCUGAGGAUGGGCCCGCGGCCUAUCAGCUUGUUGGUGGGGUGANGGCCUACCCAAGGCGACGACGGGUAGCCGGCCUGAGAGGGCGACCGGCCACACUGGGACUGAGACACGGCCCAGACUCCUACGGGAGGCAGCAGUGGGGAAUAUUGGACAAUGGGGGAAA